rnacentral:rRNA from 1 species
AUUGAACGCUGGCGGCAGGCCUAACACAUGCAAGUCGAGCGGCAGCGGGAAAGUAGCUUGCUACUUUUGCCGGCGAGCGGCGGACGGGUGAGUAAUGCCUGGGAAAUUGCCCAGUCGAGGGGGAUAACAGUUGGAAACGACUGCUAAUACCGCAUACGCCCUACGGGGGAAAGCAGGGGACCUUCGGGCCUUGCGCGGUUGGAUAUGCCCAGGUGGGAUUAGCUAGUUGGUGAGGUAAUGGCUCACCAAGGCGACGCUCCCUAGCUGGUCUGAGAGGAUGAUCAGCCACACUGGAACUGAGACACGGGCCAGACUCCUACGGGAGGCAGCAGUGGGGAAUAUUGCACAAUGGGGGAAACCCUGAUGCAGCCAUGCCGCGUGUGUGAAGAAGGCCUUCGGGUUGUAAAGCACUUUCAGCGAGGAGGAAAGGUUGAUGCCUAAUACGUAUCAACUGUGACGUUACUCGCAGAAGAAGCACCGGCUAACUCCGUGCCAGCCGCCGCAGUAAAAC